CCGGAUGGUACGGCGUUGCCGCGGGAGCA
rnacentral:sRNA from 1 species